rnacentral:rRNA from 1 species
AAAUAGAUACCCAGGUAGUCCACGCCGUAAACGAUGAGUGCUAAGUGUUGGAGGGGUUUUCCGCCUUUCAGUGCUGCAGCUAACGCAUUAAGCACUCCGCCUGGGGAGUACGGUCGCAAGACUGAAACUCAAAGGAAUUGACGGGGGCCCGCACAAGCGGUGGAGCAUGUGGUUUAAUUCGAAGCAACGCGAAGAACCUUACCAGGUCUUGACAUCUCCUGACCGCCCUGGAGACAGGGUCUUCCCUUCGGGGACAGGAUGACAGGUGGUGCAUGGUUGUCGUCAGCUCGUGUCGUGAGAUGUUGGAUUAAGUCCCGCAACGAGCGCAACCCUUGGUUCUAGUUGCCAGCAUUCAGUUGGGCACUCUAGAGCGACUGCCGGCGACAAGUCGGAGGAAGGUGGGGAUGACGUCAAAUCAUCAUGCCCCUUAUGACCUGGGCUACACACGUGCUACAAUGGAUGGUACAAAGGGGCAGCGAAGCGGCGACGCAUAAGCGAAUCCCAGAAAACCAUUCUCAGUUCGGU